GCAAGUAUGAAGGUCAGGCUGAAGACUUACCCGAUUAGCUGAGAGGUGGUGCAUGGCCGUCGUCAGUUCGUACUGUGAAGCAUCCUGUUAAGUCAGGCAACGAGCGAGACCCACGUCCACAGUUGCCAGCAUACCCUCCGGGGUGAUGGGUACACUGUGGAGACCGCCGCUGCUAAAGCGGAGGAAGGAGUGGGCAACGGUAGGUCAGUAUGCCCCGAAUCUCCCGGGCUACACGCGGGCUACAAUGGUUGGUACAAUGGGCAUCUACCCCGAAAGGGAAGGAAAUCUCUUAAAGCCAAUCGUAGUUCGGAUUGAGGGCUGCAACUCGCCCUCAUGAAGCUGGAAUCCGUAGUAAUCGCGUUUCAACAGAACGCGGUGAAUACGUCCCUGCUCCUU
rnacentral:rRNA from 1 species